UUUACUUACCUACUAUGGUUACGAUAACAUUGACGUGUUCUAUAUUUUACUUACUAUUUUUCAUUCACUGACAUAUGUACUGCUUUUCUUGCAUAUCAAUAAAAAUUAUAUUUAUUAACGUGAUAAUCUGUUAUUUACGUGCAACCUAAACGCUGGACCCCUUUGCGCUGCUCUGCCAUAACCCGGACAAUGGUUAUGGGCCCAGGGGGAGGUAUGGUUACGACUAGAAUCUAUUUACGCCUCUCGUGGGCCCGCUAGGAAAGCAAUGUUGUUAAAACGACUAUUGUUACAUAAAAUUAAUGAAUCCGGAGAUUUUCGCGAAGAAAUUGGCACAUUUUUCGACGCUGUGGACAAAUUGGAGGCAAUGGAGGUGAAGAU